rnacentral:rRNA from 1 species
ACUCAAAGGAAUUGACGGGGGCCCGCACAAGCGGAGGAACAUGUGGUUUAAUUCGAUGAUACGCGAGGAACCUUACCUGGGCUUAAAUGCAGACUGUAUUCCGCCGAAAGGCGGAUUUCCUUCGGGACCGUCUGCAAGGUGCUGCAUGGUUGUCGUCAGCUCGUGCCGUGAGGUGUCGGGUUAAGUCCCAUAACGAGCGCAACCCUUAUCGUUAGUUGCCAUCGGGUAAAGCCGGGGACUCUAACGAAACUGCCGGUGUAAACCGUGAGGAAGGUGGGGAUGACGUCAAAUCAGCACGGCCCUUAUGUCCAGGGCGACACACGUGUUACAAUGGCCGGUACAAAGGGCAGCUACCUGGCGACAGGAUGCCAAUCUUUAAAACCGGUCUCAGUUCGGAUCGGAGUCUGCAACCCGACUCCGUGAAGUUGGAUUCGCUAGUAAUCGCGCAUCAGCCACGGCGCGGUGAAUACGUUCCCGGGCCUUGCACACACCGCCCGU